GAUUACAUGAUUUGGCAUCUAUUCCAAAAUGUAAGACGAAUGGUUUUCUUUAAUUAAAGAUAAAAAUCAUUAUUUGAAUAUGUUAGAUUAAGGACAUUUAAAUAAAAAUACUCCUACACAUAGGCUUGAGUAGAUUUUAUUUGAUUGCUUUGAAAAUGAUUGGGUUUGCUAAAUUCUACACGGUUUCUAUUUCUUUUCUUAAAAUAAAGAUUUUAUCAUUUAACAGUAAUAAAAGAAAUAUUAGGUUAGACUAACCCAAAUCAAUAGAUACACUCCUUACAUCUCACCCUAAAAUCCUAAUACGCUUGAAGAGUUGCAAAUGAAAUCAACUGUACACAAAUGUGGCAAUCAAUGAAAUCAACUGUACAUAGAGCUCCACAGAUGAGAACCUGUAGACAAAAGCAAAUAUCAAGACCCUUAACCUUCAAAGCUCGAUCCACCAAGAGCCACCAACGCGGACAAAGCUCAAGGACAAAGACGAUGAUCCUUAGAAAGUCACAACACCCAUCCCAUCUGGAUGAACAUGGCCAGCAAUGCACACCGGAAUCUCCUCGAUCCAACCAAGAUUUUCAAUAGCUGAGAUUCCUGUUUUGAGAGAAUGUGAGCCCACUGAUUUACUCCACCACAAACAUGGCAAAAGACACAAGAGCAAAAACUGGUAGCCAACCGACGACCAUCAACAACAAACCCACAGAAGAAAUUUUUUUGCUGAUUCUCUUUUAUGCUGUGAUGGUGGUGAAAUGGUGAUAGAGUAAGUAGUGUUGGUGAAGGUGGUGGCUAUGGUUUAGAGAGGGCAGAGAGUGAUCUUGAUGGUGGGCGGUUGGGGAGCCUCGGUAGUGAUGAGAUGGUGGAGGUUCUGGGCAGUAAAAUUGCGGUGGAGAAGGGUACGGUGGGGGAGUUUGGGUGGCUUUGACUCUGACGUGGCGAGGAUAAGUGAUGGGAGGCAUGAAGAUGUUGUAUGGUGAUGGUAGGUAGAAAAGAAAAUAGUAAAACGGAGAGGAAAAGAAAAGAAAAAGUAAAUUUUUAUGUUGUAAAAAAAAAAUCUGAAUUAGAGAGGU
rnacentral:lncRNA from 1 species